GACGAACGCUGGCGGCGUGCUUAACACAUGCAAGUCGAACGGAAAGGCCCUGCUUUUGUGGGGUGCUCGAGUGGCGAACGGGUGAGUAACACGUGAGUAACCUGCCCUUGACUUUGGGAUAACUUCAGGAAACUGGGGCUAAUACCGGAUAGGAGCUCCUGCUGCAUGGUGGGGGUUGGAAAGUUUCGGCGGUUGGGGAUGGACUCGCGGCUUAUCAGCUUGUUGGUGGGGUAGUGGCUUACCAAGGCUUUGACGGGUAGCCGGCCUGAGAGGGGGACCGGCCACAUUGGGACUGAGAUACGGGCCAGACUCCUACGGGAGGCAGCAGUGGGGAAUAUUGCACAAUGGGCGGAAGCCUGAUGCAGCAACGCCGCGUGCGGGAUGACGGCCUUCGGGUUGUAAACCGCUUUCGCCUGUGACGAAGCGUGAGUGACGGUAAUGGGUAAAGAAGCACCGGCUAACUACGUG
rnacentral:rRNA from 1 species